rnacentral:misc_RNA from 1 species
UUUUUUAUUUUUUUUUAUUUUUAUAUAUGUAUAUUUAACCUCCAAACACCAACUUUGUAGUUGUACUUUGAAUUUUGGAUUGCAAUUUUUUCUAGAUCAUUUUUUCUGUGUUCAUGUCGUAUCUCUCUGUUUUAUUAUCAUUGGCAAAUCUAGAUCAUUUCAAUUCAAUUGCAUUUGUGCUGGUGGAGCUAAUUGCUAAAUUUCUUGCUUGAGAUUAGAAUUUUCUAAGCAUUGAUUCAAAGAAUUUCUUCCAUGGCUUUUUGCUUUUAUGGUUUUUAACGAGAAGGAAUUGGGUUUUUGGGGAUUUUAAAGAUUGUUUGCCAAAAACUAAUUGAAAGAUUGCAUGCAGAGAAAUGGAUCAAAUUUCUUUCCAAAAGGCUUCAGUUAUUUUUGGAUUCUCUGCUUUUUAUUUUAUUUUUACAAGUAUCAUUACAAGAUGAUUUUAUGUUUUCUAAAUCUUUUUCAAUACUUCCUUAGCCAGAUGAUUGUGUGUACCGUACAUGUGUUCAGCAUAAAUCAAAUGUGUUCAAUAUAAUCAAGUUCUAGGGUUAAUGGAGAUGAGUGUCAAUUAAGACUCAGCGGCAAAAGCUCCCAAGGUUUGGGGGGCUAAAUAAUGGGUUUCACUUUAAAAUGUUGGUACGCAUAGUAUACCCACAAUCUUCACGUUUGGCCCACCAACAUGAAAAGUAAUUUGUUGUGUACUUCAAAAUGUAUUUUUAAAGUAAAUUUGGCUCCAUUUAUGCUUCUAAUCUCAACCAUGUAACUAGGAAAGGAUCAUCAAAUCAUGUCUUGCAAUGGGAAGUCAACAAACGUCAUGUGGCAUAAAAGUUCAGUUGAUAAAUUUGAUAGGCAAGAGUUACUUCAGCAGAAAGGUUGUGUCAUUUGGAUUACUGGUCUCAGUGGUUCAGGAAAAAGCACUUUGGCAUGUGCUUUGAGCCGAGGAUUGCACUCGAGAGGAAAGUUGACCUACAUACUUGAUGGUGACAAUGUCCGACAUGGCCUGAACAAUGACCUAGGUUUUAAAGCAGAAGACCGGGCAGAAAACAUUCGGAGGAUCGGGGAGGUGGCAAAGCUUUUUGCAGAUGCUGGUGUGAUUUGCAUUGCUAGUUUAAUAUCUCCCUACCGAAAGGACCGAGAUGCUUGUCGUGCAUUAUUAGCAGAUGGAGAUUUUAUUGAGGUGUUCAUGGAUGUGCCACUCCAAGUGUGCGAGGAAAGGGACCCAAAGGGACUGUACAAACUUGCUCGAGCUGGAAAGAUCAAAGGUUUUACCGGGAUUGAUGAUCCAUAUGAACCACCACUAGAUUGUGAGGUGCGUAUCCUAUAAAGGAAAUUCAUGCAUGAUAUCUGGGUUUGAACCUGCUAGUGAACAUGAACUUGCAACUUGAAGAAUUAGACAUGCUUUAAUAUUAAUAAACACCAAAAAGCAUUAAUGCAUGUUUGGUGGAAUUCCUCUGUACAUGUUUGGUAUAUUUAUUUUAACAACCAUUAAUUGGUGAGUUUUGCAGAUAGUACUGAAACAGAUGGGAGACGACUGUUCUUCUCCAUGCGAUAUGGCUGAAAUUGUAAUAAGUUACUUGAAAGAAAAAGGGUAUCUGCAGGCUUAAUAAGCAAAAAAUAGAGGUAAAAAUAAAAUAGCUUCCUGGUGAAAGCUUUCAGCCCCCUGUAGCUGAAGCCUAUAUUCACCACAACAUAAAAUGCUGAAUUAUUGGAAAUGAAUUUAUUUCCAUUUGGCAAGGAAGCUUCUGCACUGCUGCAUCAAGGAAAUUUCUCGUUUCCUGAACGUAGCAAUCAUAUCAUUUCUGGAAUGGUAAGGGGUUUAGUGUAUAGGUUUUAUCAUCUAGCAAUUUGAUAUUCAUGUUGGAAAAUAAAAUAUCGGGGGCUUGCACUGAAUUCUUGUAUUGAAACAGGCGCUCAGAGCUUUUAGAUUUGUGUAUUUACUGCAAAUAAUACCUAGAAUCGCUUCAUUUACUUAGAAGAUAUAUAUAUAUAUGUUCCUUGUUUUGGGCAGAGAAAUGCUGUUGAGAACAAUUGUUGAUUUAUUAGUAAUUCUUUAAAUUCUUGUACAACUGCUCCCAAAUAAUAUGGGACCUUUUCUUUUUCUCCUCUUCUGUGAGAUUUUUAGUGGGUGUUUUUAUCUUCCCUGUAGAUUUACUGUCUUUCCUUUGAGUAGUAAAUAAGCUGAAAUUCUUGAAGUUCUUUAUUUGGAGUAAGAGUGUGACUCGAAUCUUGAAUGAGCCGAAGUGGGGGUGCAGGUACUAUUUCCUUCUUGGAAUAUACUUGUUUUUCACUUUGUUUUAGGAAUGAAAAAAAAAUGCCUUGAAUGUAAUAAUAGAAAUUUUGUUUUUAAUAAAAUAAAUAUUACUUUAGAAAUCGAAUUGGCUGAUGGUCAGAACUCAAAAAGGCUGCGAUUCUGG